AGAGUUUGAUCAUGGCUCAGAGUGAACGCUGGCGGCGUGCUUAACACAUGCAAGUCGAACGGUAACAGAACUAGCAAUGGGUGCUGACGAGUGGCGCACGGGUGCGUAACACGUAUGCAACUUACCCUUUACUGGGGAAUAACCUCGGGAAAGCCAGGCUAAUACCCCAUAGUAUUAUUGAGUGGCAUCAUUUGAUAAUUAAAGAUUUAUUGGUUAAGGAUGGGCAUGCGCCCCAUUAGUUAGUUGGUAAGGUAACGGCUUACCAAGACGAUGAUGGGUAGGGGUUCUGAGAGGAUUAUCCCCCACACUGGUACUGAGACACGGACCAGACUCCUACGGGAGGCAGCAGUAAGGAAUAUUGGGCAAUGGGCGCGAGCCUGACCCAGCCAUGCCGCGUGCAGGAAGACGGCCUUAUGGGUUGUAAACUGCUUUUAUAUGGGAAUAACCUACCCCACGUGUGGGGUACUGUAUGUACCAUAAGAAUAAGCAUCGGCUAACUCCGUGCCAGCAGCCGCGGUAAUACGGAGGAUGCAAGCGUUAUCCGGAAUCAUUGGGUUUAAAGGGUGCGUAGGCGGAUAAAUAAGUCAGUGGUGAAAUACCCGUGCUCAACAUGGGAGCUGCCAUUGAUACUGUUUAUCUAGAGUUUAGUUGACGUUGGCGGAAUGUAUCAUGUAGCGGUGAAAUGCAUAGAGAUGACACAGAACACCGAUAGCGAAGGCAGCUGACGAAACUAAAACUGACGCUGAGGCACGAAAGCGUGGGGAUCAAACAGGAUUAGAUACCCUGGUAGUCCACGCCGUAAACGAUGAUAACUAGCUGUAUGCAAUACACCGUCAGCGACUAAGCGAAAGUGAUAAGUGAACCACCUGGGGAGUACGAUCGCAAGGUUGAAACUCAAAGGAAUUGACGGGGGCCCGCACAAGCGGAGGAUCAUGUGGUUUAAUUCGAUGAUACGCGAGGAACCUUACCUGGGCUUAAAUGUAUAUUGACAGUCAAAGAGAUUUGAUUUUCUUCGGACAAUUCACAAGGUGCUGCAUGGAUGUCGUUCGUCAGCUCGUGCCGUGAGGGGUCGGGUUAAGUCCUGCAACGAGCGCAACCCCUACCGUUAGUUGCCAUCAGGUCAAGCUGGGGACUCUAGCGGAACUGCCUGCGCAAGCAGAGAGGAAGGUGGGGAUGACGUCAAAUCAGCACGGCCCUUAUGUCCAGGGCUACACACGUGCUACAAUGGUCGGUACAGAGGGCAGCUACCUAGCAAUAGGAUGCAAAUCUCAAAAGCCGAUCUCAGUUCGGAUCGGAGUCUGCAACUCGACUCCGUGAAGUUGGAUUCGCUAGUAAUCGUAUAUCAGCAAUGAUACGGUGAAUACGUUCCCGGGCCUUGUACACACCGCCCGUCAAGCCAUGGAAGCCGAGGGUACCUGAAGUCGAUUACCGAAAGGGAUUGCCUAGGGUAAAACCGAUAACUGGGGCUAAGUCGUAACAAGGUAGCCGUA
rnacentral:rRNA from 1 species